GUUUGGAAAAGCUUCCAGCUUCAUCACGGAGUUUCUCUCGGUUUGUGGGCUCAUCUAAAGCUGAGUAACAGGAGGAGAAGAGUCUGGUGGAACAACAGAGGAACAAUUUCAGCCAUUUGGACUCAGCUCAGCCACUACAGAGGAAACAAUGACUUCAAUACAAAAGGACCAACAUGGAGCGAGAAGUCAGUGCUCUCAGGAGGCCGACAAACGUCACAGAAGAAAGCGAGAGAAAAAAUACAGCUGUGAUGAGUGUGGGAAGGAUUUUACCCGGGCUGGAAGCCUAAAAAGACACCGACUCAUCCACAGUGGAGUUAAAGCUUACAGCUGUGACUUGUGUGGAAAGUCUUUUACCCUGGCUGAAAGCUUAAAAAAGCACCAAGUCAUCCACAGUGGAGUGAAA